AGUUAAAUUACAGAGUUAUGAGAAAUUAAAGUCCAAAGUGCGAGAUUGGUUGCACUACCUUCAGAUAAACGAGACAUUUAAACAGGACAGGAAAAUAGGUUUCCAGAAGGAGAGGUCAAAAUUAGAAACAGAACUGUUAGAACCCAAUACUAAGAAUCUGUCGAGAAUGUAUAAUCUGCUGUUGAAAUGGAACACACAGGAUGAAACGGUGAAAUCAGCUAUGAUAAAAUGGGCACAAGAUAUUGGUCAUAACAUUAUGUUUGCUGACUGGGAACAGCUGUGGACCACCGGUACUAAAUUUACGGCAUGUAAUGCCUUAAGAGAAAACAUUAUGAAAAUGAUGUAUAGGUGGUACAUGACCCCAGUCAAGCUUGCAAAAAUUUAUCAUCUGCCCAAUAACAAAUGUUGGAAAUGUAAUGAGACUGAAGGUACUUUUUAUCACCUUUGGUGGACCUGCCCGAGGAUAAAAGCUUUUUGGGAAAUGAUCUAUAAUGAAAUUAAGAAGGUUCUUAAAUGGACCUUUCCUAAAAAACCUGAGGCUUUUCUCCUGGGCAUAGUCGGCCAAUUGGUGAGAAGGAAGGACAGGACGUUUUUUAUGUAUGCGACUACAGCAGCAAGGAUUCUUCUAGCAAAGUAUUGGAAGACACAACAACUACCCACACUGGAAGAAUGGCAGACGAAGGUGAUCGACUACAUGGGACUGGCGGAGUUGACUGGCAGAAUCCGUGACCAGGGGAAAGAGACAGUGGAAGAAGAUUGGAAGAAAUUCAAAGUUUAUCUUAGAACUUGUUGUAAAAUUCAGGAAUGUUAAAAUGUCAAGGGGUUGUGAAACAGAGAAUUGCAGCUGUAAUUAACAAUAUUAGAAGAACUUAAAAGAAAUUGAACUGAAAAAUUAGCCGACUGAGGAGUUGCUGAAGAAAUAUAAAACAAGGAUGCAGAAAAGGGGAGGUAUGGGGAAGUCCGGAAAGUAAGGUUUAUGAAAAAAUGGUUAUGAAAUUAUACAUGUUUAUAUGUUUGUAUGUCGGUGUAUUGUGUAUUGUUUGUUUUUUCUUUGUUUUUUUUAUUUUGUGCUUGGAAAAUUAAUAAAAAUUUAUUU
rnacentral:lncRNA from 1 species